UUUUUUCGCCCCCUCCCACCAAUGGUGUGAUAGGUAAUAGCGAACUCUAAUCUGCUUUGUUUCUUCUCCUUUUUCAUCCAUCACCAUAUUCUUCCUCUCCCAACUACAAAACACUCCAAAUCCAUUUUCAACAGGUCAGUUAGAAACAAAUACUCAUCUUUAAUCCGCAGACUCAAUUAAACCAAUCUCCAUCCAAUCACGGAGAGGAAGUGACAGAGUGUGCCCUAACCAGCGAAUUGAGGAUCAUGUUUGCUACGACUUCCAUUAGAGGUAGAGUUCGCGGGUUUUCCAACAUCCUCUGUAACAAAUCCCAACUCAACCCCAUCAGAAGGAAUUCUCUAGUAUGGUUCUGUCUUCUAGUUCAAGAUGUUCCAGAUCUCUCGUUAUUGUCUAAAACCACUUCAUUUACUACUUAUAGUACAUACACAAACCAGAGGAAGUGCAAGCCAGAGGGACAUUUCCUAGGAGUGCCAUGUAAAUCCUAUCUAUUCAAUACUUUACUUCUGCAGAGAUCAUGUGUGUUUGAGCACCAUAAUGUUCAUUUGAAAUGGCUGCAUGCUAGAUACACAAGCAAUGCAUCAAUUGAGCUGAAGACAGGGGAUGAUGUUGUUAGAUUUAAUAUUGGUAAGCAGCUUGAGAAACGUGGAUCUCCAAAAAAAUGGAAGAAGACUGCUAAACAUAUUAAACGGAAUGAACUCAGGCUCUAUCGUUUGAAGGCAAAGAAAAAGAUGACAUCUCCAAAUCCAGAAGUUAGGAUUAGAUACAAACUUGAUAAGGCCAAACGAAAGGAAGAAUGGUUAAUUGAGAAACUGAGAAAAUUUGAGGUACCGAAGGACCCAGCAGAAACAUAUGAUCCUGAAAUUCUAACCGAGGAAGAGAGGUUUUAUCUAAAGCGUACUGGCGAGAAAAAGAAGAAUUAUGUUCCAGUUGGGAGGCGGGGAGUAUUUGGAGGUGUUGUUCUCAACAUGCAUCUUCAUUGGAAGAAGCAUGAGACUGUUAAGGUUAUUUGCAAGCCUUGCAAGCCUGGACAGAUUCACGAAUAUGCAGAAGAGCUUGCACGGCUGAGCAAAGGCAUUGUGAUUGAUAUAAAACCCAACAACACUAUCAUAUUCUAUAGGGGAAAGAAUUAUGUGCAGCCAAAAAUUAUGUCCCCUCCAGAUACUCUAUCUAAAGCCAAGGCCUUGGAAAAAUAUAAAUAUGAGCAGUCCCUGGAGCAUACGAGUCAGUUCAUUGAGAAAUUGGAGAAAGAGCUGGAAGAGUAUCAUAAGCACCUUGAUAGGUACAGGAAAAGAAAGGAGAAUGAAAUGCAAGAUUCUGUUGUUGAUACUUGAUGGUUAGUGGUACCACACACACAAUCGUGAGUCUCGACUCUGAAAGCUCAAUCAGUAGGCAGCCCAAUCAUUGAUUCAAACCUUACUCUCUCAAGGCGUGCAUGUCCAACCCAAACAUCCUAGAGAAGAAGACUCAAAGAAUGAGACAAUAAUUAUUGCAAGCAAUCACUUAGUUUACCAUGGGUUUUGUGGUAGUCGUAUGGUGAAGGUAGAUAUGAACAUUUCACGCACAAAAUGGCCUCGUGAUGAAAUGAUCUUUAGCUUUAUACCGUGGCUGAAAUUCCAACGCAUGAGCUUUGAUUGUGAUGAGAACUAAGAUACAUAAACAAGCCUUUUUUUCUCAAGAACAAGGUGGGAUGUGAUUUUCCAUUUUCUAUGCCGGUCAUCUUUUCAGAAACCGUGUUUAGGAGAAGAGACGUUUCCUGUGUGCCAAGGAUGUUAGCCGGUAUGGUAAACUGAAGCGUGGUUGGAAGUGAUGCUAGAAACUUGCGCAGUUCAAGCUCAUUUGCCAAAUAUAUUGGGCUCUGUAGAAUGGAUCAGUUUUUACUUCAUUGUCUCCUCCCAAAAAUUCGGUAACAGCACUAACCAUUUUUUUUAUUUGCUUCAUAUGUAUGAGUUAUCAUCAAUAUUUGUAACUUUGUAUGAAAAAGUUGAAUUAUUAUCAUAGAGAUAUCAUACUCUCUCAAAAAGUCACGUUUGAUUUCA